GACGAACGCUGGCGGCGUGCUUAACACAUGCAAGUCGAACGGAAAGGCCCUGCUUUUGUGGGGUGCUCGAGUGGCGAACGGGUGAGUAACACGUGAGUAACCUGCCCUUGACUUUGGGAUAACUUCAGGAAACUGGGGCUAAUACCGGAUAGGAGCUCCUGCUGCAUGGUGGGGGUUGGAAAGUUUCGGCGGUUGGGGAUGGACUCGCGGCUUAUCAGCUUGUUGGUGGGGUAGUGGCUUACCAAGGCUUUGACGGGUAGCCGGCCUGAGAGGGUGACCGGCCACAUUGGGACUGAGAUACGGCCCAGAAUCCUACGGGAGGCAGCAGUGGGGAAUAUUGCACAAUGGGCGGAAGCCUGAUGCAGCAACGCCGCGUGCGGGAUGACGGCCUUCGGGUUGUAAACCGCUUUCGCCUAUGACGAAGCGUGAGUGACGGUAAUGGGUAAAGAAGCACCGGCUAACUACGUG
rnacentral:rRNA from 1 species